UGCCGGGUCGUCUAAUGGUAGGACACAAGGUUUUGGUCCUUGGUAUCGGGGUUCGAGUCCCUGCCCGGCAG
rnacentral:tRNA from 1 species